rnacentral:lncRNA from 1 species
UCAAAAAACUCAAGGUGAAAAAGAAAAUUUAAUCUAAUAGUCCAAUAUGUACAACAAAUUCUCAACUUGCUAAUGCAAAGGUAAAUGAAAACGCCGCGGAUUGGGCAGCUUUUGUACUGUCAACCUUGUCUUGCCGUGGAGGUUCACAUGGACAUGGCAAUGCUAUGAACUUUGGGAUCUGAUCUCCUGGCAUUAAGACAGGCAAGCUUUGGCUCUGGUUUUUCUUUAAAUCCUGAAUAAAAGAAACACCAAAUAGAGGUUGAGCAUCAAAAAGUAUAGAAACCAUAUUUUAACAUGUCUAAUUAAGCAAAGGUGAGAGAAAAUUUACCAUGUACUCAGGCUUAGACUUCGAGGGAGAUGCUUCGAUAUCCUCGUCGGGAUGCGUGCCAUCGGCGAAAGACCGACGGAGUGAUAUGAGCUUGUCCCAGUGGUAGCAACAGGAGAAGAUGCCACUCAAACCGAAAAUGAAAAUUAACAGGAGAGCCGUGCCAAGAGGGAACCCGAGGGACGGUCGAGAUGCAUCAACGUGGGGUGGGGAAAGAGACUGACUCUCCAUCACAUAUACUCUUUCGGAACAACUGCUUCUUGUUGCUGUUGCUCCUUCUCUCAUACGUAUGAAAGGAGAAAGAAACUACGGUCAAACAGCAUGCAAAUUAUGGCAUUGAAAAAGAAUAGUAUUGUAUCGAGGAGGGGAAUGAGUGGGGGGGGGGAUUUAUAAAAUGAAUGGAAGGUUGCGUUAGUGUGUCCAUGGAAUGGUACAACGAAAAAUGUCCUUGGGAUCCGGACCAUGGUACGGAAUUGGGUGGGGUCCAAUUGUUGGGUGCAACCCAUAAAUAAAUAAAUAAAUAAAAGGGUUAAAAGCUAAAGCAGUAAAAAGAUCAGUUGGGUUUUGCGUGAUUGUUGGGGAAUAGAAGAAAGAAUUUGUUCGGGGUCGGAGAAAGCAGUACUUGUGUAAAGAUGUGAAAGCAAAAAUGGGAAAUUCAGAACAAAGGAUUAUAUAACGUUGGAAAGUGGUUUACCCUAAAAUAUCUUCAGUUUGUCCGGACAAAGGAUUAUACUUUGUUGUAAUCUAGGAUUUUAAUUUUUAACCAGUUGAUAUUAAGCUUUACCCUUUGUAAAUCAAGCUCAGCCUUUUGCCAAAUGAAAGGAAACUGGGGUCCUGAACUAUUGGUUCUACGGCAAGAGGAUGUUAUGGGUAUAUGGCUUUUUGAAGUUCAUGUUGGGCAAAAUCAGAAACCAAACCAAGGAACAAGAAGAAAGAAAUAUUGAGAAGCAAUUAAUUGAGUCAUUUCCUUUCAUGUCAUACAAUAAUUCCCUGAUUUUUUCCGGUUCACGAGUGUGAAUUAAGACAUCUUUAACAGCAAAGUGAAACUUGAAGAAAUUGCAAGGAAGUUUCCGAUUCAAGAAAGUUCCAAGAAAAAAAAAAUAUAUCCGAUCAUAAAAUAAUAGUAAUAGCAAUUUUUUAGGCGUCAGUUCUCCUAUGAUUGAAAGCAACAUCUCGGUGGCUAUGAAAAUCUUUAGAGAAGAUAAGAUAUGGCAUGUAGAAUUCAAAUUUGAAAUGCUUAAGAAGAUUUCAGCUGUCUUCUACCCGCAAAAAAAAAAUACAGAAAGGAAAAUCUAUCCCUUCAUUUUUCUUCAUGAUCCUGACUGUCAUAAGUUUUUUUAAUCGUUGAAACUGACUUGCUUGCUUCAUCAUAAGUAGUUAAACAAAAUCGGAUUUCUUUGAAAGAUCAAAAUUUUGGAAUGUUCAGUGUAGUCAAUGUAGCUUGGUGCAAACUAGAAAAUUGUUUAAUUCCAUUAUUCAUCAAAUAUUUUGAUAUCUGUAUCUUGCCAUAUUUAUAAAAUUAUAAGAGAUUUUAUUGUAGUUAGAGUUUCAAAUUUUGAUUUGUUAUCUAACAGGAUAAAGCUGGGAAGAAUUGAAUAAUUCAUAUGUCUUAUGGUACACUAAAUAAAAAAAAUUAAAAUAAUUUAUACAAAAGGAUACUUCUAUCCUUGUUAAGUAAUAAAAAAAAAUUAAAAACUUGGAUUAAGACAUUAAAAUUUUAUCAUCAACAAUAACAAAAAAAUAAAAAUAAAAUAAUUGAAUUUUACAUCAUCAUCCAACAGUUGGGAUAAGACCGGUGGGAAUCCACCAAGGAUUGUCCAUGAAAGGCCUGUCCCAUGUGAUUUUGCUGAAGAACAGGGUCCCCAUUGGAUAAGGAUGCUUAUCAACCGUACGUUUACAAAUCCUACUUUUUCACUCAAAUUUCUUUGAAUAUUAGGGAACACAAUGGACUAAGCUGCUUUUAUGGCGGCCAAAAUCAUCUCUGUUUACAUUUUUGUAGUUUUGUAGGUGGUUGGACAGAAGGAAAACGAAAGAAAAUUGAAAGGAGACGAUCAGAAAACUACCACAUUGGGAAAAUUACAGCUUGGCGGUUGGGAUUUUAUAUGAUUAAUCAAUAAUCUACGCUUGUAAUUAAUGAAGUUAGUAAAGAUGAACAUGUUAGAAAGAUCCGAGAAAACGGUUCUUUUUCAUAAAAUUCAAGUCCAAACUUAUAAUUAAAAUUUCAAAUUCUAACUAUUAAAAUGUUUUUUAAAAGAAUAAACAAGAAUGAUAGAACAUGUUUAUUAUGGAUAGGAUUAAAAAAUAAAUUUAAAAUCAUAAUAUUUAAUUUUCGGAUCAAAUUAAUUUUUUUAUUUGAUUCAAAUUAAAAUCAAAUAUUAAAUAUAUAUUAAUUUGAAUCAAAUUUCAUAUUAAGAUAUAAAAAAUCGAAAAAAAUAAAAUAUAUAUUUUAUUAAUUUUUAUAUAUAUUUAAAAUUAUAUUAAAAUAAUAUGCAAAAAAUGAAAAAAUAAAUUUUAAAAAAUGAUAAAUAAAUUAAAUCAAACUAAUAAAAUUUAAUUCAAACUGAAUCAAUUUAAAAAAAAUUAAAAUUUGGAUCAAAUUUUUAAAAUAUAUAAUAUAUAAUAUUAUUUAAAAAAAAUUAAAUCAAUUCGAUCAAACUGUUAUCACUUCUAAUUAUAUACACCUAAAUAAUUCACCUUUUAGAUUAAGGUGUACACAUAUGCUUAAUAAUUAAAAAAAAAAAUUUUAAUUUCUUUAACACUUAAAAGUUUUGUUAAAUAUUUUUAACAAAUUUAAUAAAUUUAUAAAUAGUUUAUAUAUAUUAUAAAUAAACACUUACAAAAAAAAAAAAAUUUCCGAACCCAUCCAUGUAAAGUUGAGCUAGCGAAAUGGGAAGUGGGGACAUUAUAAAAUUUUUAUUUGUAUUUUGUUUGAGCAUCAAAAGAGUGCGCACCCAAAACGCACAAGGUUGUCAAAUUAAAAAGGGAAAGAAAAGCUUACAGUGCUGAUUAGUGCUGAUGACAAGAAAAAAUGCGAAAGUGAAAGCCGCAUCUAGUGGAGCUUAACAUCAUCACGGAAGCAGUACAAACUCCUUUUUUUUUUUUUUUUUGUCAGUGUUGAACUGUUGGGGACGGUGGGGGAAAAGAGAAUCAAAAGCAACUCAGUGCUUCAAAUAGUGAAAUUCGGUCAUCAGGGUGAGAGAUAGAGAUCGAGAUUGAUUUGCGGCAUUCAAAGCGGCUAAAAACAAUUGAAAAAUGGCCGAUUGGGGAUUUUGGAUUUUAAUGCACUUUUAACGGGGUAUAAUUGAAUUUAAAUAUUAAUUUUAUUUAAAUUUAUUUAAUAUAAAUUUUUUAUGAAUUUUUUUAACUAUAAUAAUUACAGUUAUAAUAAUAAUUAUUAUUAUUAUUAUUUAUUUUAUUAUUUAACCAAAUAAAUCUUUACUUUUUAUAGAACAUUUUUUUCUUUUGAUAUCACAAACUCGUGGAUUUCAAUUUAAUUCCUUAACAUUAUUUUUUAUGUUGGAUGCAAACAAUAAAGGGAAUGAAAAAAUAUGAAGAAAAAAUUUUUUUUUAUUAUGUUUGAUACUAAAGAUAACAAAUAACGAAAUAAAUUAUGAUUAAAUUUAUUAGCCUAAUUGUAAAGUUAAAAAAUCAAUCUCAAUCUGAUAUGAACUCAAGUUUCUAAACACACAAGCAUAAAAAAUGUCCGAAACCGUACUGCAUCUCAAAAAGAUGAGGAAGAAACUUGAACCCUUAGCUCCCAAUCUUUUCUUCUUUUCUUGAAGUGUAAAAUCUAAGUGAAUAUUGAUUGAUGGUAGAUAUUUUUGGUUAAAAAUCCAAUUUCAUUGUUUCUAUAGUUGGUACCUGCUAAAUGCUAUAGCUCCCGAUUGACAGCAGUUUCUAGGAAAUUGCAGACCAUAUAAUUAAGUGGUUUAUCAGCAAUUUUCUGCUCCUGCUUAUGUUUUAAUUCUCUAAAUGUAAGACUUAAUCUUGCUGUACCAAAAGAUUUGAUGCACUUACCAAUCAUCAUUAACAAGGCAACUGUGUUUUGCUUGGCUUGUAAGUUUACUUACAAUAGAAUAUUUGUAAAAGCUUACAGGUUUGCCUAAUUUUUGACAAAGACACGCACUGAUUCUUCACAGAUAAGGGUUACCUUGUUUCCAACCCAGAAAAAAAAGGUUUGCCCUCUCAUUGGCAAUUCUAGCUAUGGUUAAAAUCUUAGGCAAGGCUCCACCUGACUAACCCCAAAUAGAUAAAUUUGGGCAUUGCUAAAAGUAGAGAAACGAUAUUUUCCAGGAAGUAGUAGGCUGGAAGAUACAGAGUUGGCUACCCUGUUAGUCAAGAGAAAUGGACUUAAUUUUUAACAGUUUUCUUCUUAUAAUUAAGUGUUGAAAACAAACUGUAAAUUUAGGUAAAAGAAAAGAAAAUAUCUCUGAACCAGGACCUUGGGAUUUUCUUUUUCCCCUUUUUUUUUUUCUCUUUUCUACUUUUGGGUAAUUCAGUAAUGCAUAAGAACUUCAUUAAACCAUUUCAUUUUCCAACUGACAUAACAAUUGUAACCUUCUUCCUUGUGGGAAUAAUGGCAUAAUAAAUUUUACUACUCCUGAUACACUUGACUAGCCAGAAACUGUAACCGUUAACACUAUUCAAAUUGAACCAUGUUCUACCAGGCAUCCAAAGGUUCCUACCUACCCUUUUCAUUUUUUUUUUCUUUCUCUCAAAAAACUCAAAGGUGAAAAAAAAAUUUAAUCUAAUAGUCCAAUAUGUACAACAAAUUCUCAACUUGCUAAUGCAAAGGCACAGGAAAACGCAGCGGAUUGGGCGCCUUUUGUACUGUCAACCUUGUCUUGCCGUGGAGGUUCACAAGGACACGGCAAUGCUAUGAACUUUGGCAUCUGAUCUCCUGGCAUUAAGACAGGCAAGCUUUCGCUCUGGUUUUUCUUUAAAUCCUGAAUAGAAGAAACUCCAAAUGGAGGUUGAGC